rnacentral:rRNA from 1 species
ACCUGCUCUAUGAUAAUAUAUAUUAAAUGGCCGCGAUAUUUUGAUCGUGCAAAGGUAGCAUAAUCAUUAGUUUUUUAAUUAAGAACUGGAAUGAAAGGUUGAACGAGAAAAAAGCUGUCUCUAUUUAAUUUUUUUAGAAUUUUAUUUUUAAGUAAAAAAGCUUAAAUAAUUUUAAAAGACGAGAAGACCCUAUAGAGUUUAAUAUUUUUUUAUUUUUAGAAAAUAUUUAGUAUUUAAUUUUUUAUAAAUUAUUAAGUAUUUAGUUGGGGUGAUUAAAAAAUUUAAAAAACUUUUUUAAAAUUUAUACAUUAAUAUAUGAAUAAUUGAUCCAUAUUUUAUGAUUAUAAGAU